GAUGAACGCUGGCGGCGUGCUUAACACAUGCAAGUCGAGCGAGAAGUUUUGAAAAGAUUCUUCGGAUGAAAUUUAAAAUGGAAAGCGGCGGACGGGUGAGUAACGCGUAGGCAACCUGCCCCAUACAAAGGGAUAGCAUUUGGAAACGAAUAUUAAUACCUUAUGAAACUUAACUAGUGCAUGCUAGGUAGGUCAAAGAUUUAUCGGUCUGGGAUGGUCCGGCGUCUGAUUAGCUAGUUGGUGAGGUAACGGCUCACUAAGGCGACGAUCAGUAGCCGACCUGAGAGGGUGAACGGCCAAAUUGGAACUGAGACACGGUCCAAACACCUACGGGAGGCAGCAGUGGGGAAUAUUGCACAAUGGGGGAAACCCUGAUGCAGCAACGCCGCGUGAACGAUGAAGGCCUUUGGGGCGUAAAGUUCUGUUAUAGGUGAUGAAAACUGACAGUAACCUAGGAGAAAGCCCCGGCUAACUCCGUG
rnacentral:rRNA from 1 species